rnacentral:rRNA from 1 species
UAGGGAAUCUUCCACAAUGGACGCAAGUCUGAUGGAGCAACGCCGCGUGAGUGAAGAAGGUUUUCGGAUCGUAAAGCUCUGUUGUUGGUGAAGAAGGAUAGAGGCAGUAACUGGUCUUUAUUUGACGGUAAUCAACCAGAAAGUCACGGCUAACUACGUGCCAGCAGCCGCGGUAAUACGUAGGUGGCAAGCGUUGUCCGGAUUUAUUGGGCGUAAAGCGAGCGCAGGCGGAAUGAUAAGUCUGAUGUGAAAGCCCACGGCUCAACCGUGGAACUGCAUCGGAAACUGUCAUUCUUGAGUGCAGAAGAGGAGAGUGGAAUUCCAUGUGUAGCGGUGGAAAGCGUAGAUAUAUGGAAGAACACCAGUGGCGAAGGCGGCUCUCUGGUCUGCAACUGACGCUGAGGCUCGAAAGCAUGGGUAGCGAACAGG